UACGGGGGGGGCAAGCGUUGUUCGGAAUUACUGGGCGUAAAGGGCGCGUAGGCGGUUUGCUAAGUUGAAUGUGAAAACUCUGGGCUUAACCCAGAGCCUGCAUUCAAUACUGGCAGGCUGGAGUUCUGGAGGGGAUAGCGGAAUUCCUGGUGUAGCGGUGAAAUGCGUAGAUAUCACGAGGAACACCGGUGGCGAAGGCGGCUAUCUGGACAGAAACUGACGCUGAGGCGCGAAAGCUAGGGGAGCAAACAGG
rnacentral:rRNA from 1 species